rnacentral:rRNA from 1 species
GAUGAACGCUGGCGGCGUGCCUAAUACAUGCAAGUCGAGCGAACGGACGAGAAGCUUGCUUUUCUGAUGUUAGCGGCGGACGGGUGAGUAACACGUGGAUAACCUACCUAUAAGACUGGGAUAACUUCGGGAAACCGGAGCUAAUACCGGAUAAUAUUUUGAACCGCAUGGUUCAAAAGUGAAAGACGGUCUUGCUGUCACUUAUAGAUGGAUCCGCGCUGCAUUAGCUAGUUGGUAAGGUAACGGCUUACCAAGGCAACGAUGCAUAGCCGACCUGAGAGGGUGAUCGGCCACACUGGAACUGAGACACGGUCCAGACUCCUACGGGAGGCAGCAGUAGGGAAUCUUCCGCAAUGGGCGAAAGCCUGACGGAGCAACGCCGCGUGAGUGAUGAAGGUCUUCGGAUCGUAAAACUCUGUUAUUAGGGAAGAACAUAUGUGUAAGUAACUGUGCACAUCUUGACGGUACCUAAUCAGAAAGCCACGGCUAACUACGUGCCAGCAGCCGCGGUAAUACGUAGGUGGCAAGCGUUAUCCGGAAUUAUUGGGCGUAAAGCGCGCGUAGGCGGUUUUUUAAGUCUGAUGUGAAAGCCCACGGCUCAACCGUGGAGGGUCAUUGGAAACUGGAAAACUUGAGUGCAGAAGAGGAAAGUGGAAUUCCAUGUGUAGCGGUGAAAUGCGCAGAGAUAUGGAGGAACACCAGUGGCGAAGGCGACUUUCUGGUCUGUAACUGACGCUGAUGUGCGAAAGCGUGGGGAUCAAACAGGAUUAGAUACCCUGGUAGUCCACGCCGUAAACGAUGAGUGCUAAGUGUUAGGGGGUUUCCGCCCCUUAGUGCUGCAGCUAACGCAUUAAGCACUCCGCCUGGGGAGUACGACCGCAAGGUUGGAACUCAAAGGAAUUGACGGGGACCCGCACAAGCGGUGGAGCAUGUGGUUUAAUUCGAAGCAACGCGAAGAACCUUACCAAAUCUUGACAUCCUUUGACAACUCUAGAGAUAGAGCCUUCCCCUUCGGGGGACAAAGUGACAGGUGGUGCAUGGUUGCCGUCAGCUCGUGUCGUGAGAUGUUGGGUUAAGUCCCGCAACGAGCGCAACCCUUAAGCUUAGUUGCCAUCAUUAAGUUGGGCACUCUAAGUUGACUGCCGGUGACAAACCGGAGGAAGGUGGGGAUGACGUCAAAUCAUCAUGCCCCUUAUGAUUUGGGCUACACACGUGCUACAAUGGACAAUACAAAGGGCAGCGAAACCGCGAGGUCAAGCAAAUCCCAUAAAGUUGUUCUCAGUUCGGAUUGUAGUCUGCAACUCGACUACAUGAAGCUGGAAUCGCUAGUAAUCGUAGAUCAGCAUGCUACGGUGAAUACGUUCCCGGGUCU